rnacentral:rRNA from 1 species
UACCAUGCAGUCGAGCGGAGAUGAGGUGCUUGCACCUUAUCUUAGCGGCGGACGGGUGAGUAAUGCUUAGGAAUCUGCCUAUUAGUGGGGGACAACAUUCCGAAAGGAAUGCUAAUACCGCAUACGUCCUACGGGAGAAAGCAGGGGAUCUUCGGACCUUGCGCUAAUAGAUGAGCCUAAGUCGGAUUAGCUAGUUGGUGGGGUAAGGGCCUACCAAGGCGACGAUCUGUAGCGGGUCUGAGAGGAUGAUCCGCCACACUGGGACUGAGACACGGCCCAGACUCCUACGGGAGGCAGCAGUGGGGAAUAUUGGACAAUGGGGGGAACCCUGAUCCAGCCAUGCCGCGUGUGUGAAGAAGGCCUUAUGGUUGUAAAGCACUUUAAGCGAGGAGGAGGCUACUGAGACUAAUACUCUUGGAUAGUGGACGUUACUCGCAGAAUAAGCACCGGCUAACUCUGUGCCAGCAGCCGCGGUAAUACAGAGGGUGCGAGCGUUAAUCGGAUUUACUGGGCGUAAAGCGUGCGUAGGCGGCUUUUUAAGUCGGAUGUGAAAUCCCCGAGCUUAACUUGGGAAUUGCAUUCGAUACUGGGAAGCUAGAGUAUGGGAGAGGAUGGUAGAAUUCCAGGUGUAGCGGUGAAAUGCGUAGAGAUCUGGAGGAAUACCGAUGGCGAAGGCAGCCAUCUGGCCUAAUACUGACGCUGAGGUACGAAAGCAUGGGGAGCAAACAGGAUUAGAUACCCUGGUAGUCCAUGCCGUAAACGAUGUCUACUAG